rnacentral:lncRNA from 1 species
GGAGGGGAGGCCAGCAGGAAGAGCGCACUUUGAGUGGCUUCUAUGUUGACCCGCACCCACCUCCAGGAAGCACCGACGGCCCAGGAAAGCCAGGCUGUUCUGUAGGAACCUUCCACCUGGUCCCGUGCUGGACCGAAGUCCCCGAGGGCAGGGCUGCACGCGUCCCGAAGGGCGUCUCCUGGGCAAAGCACGGGCGUCUUCCCCGCCAGCGUCGUCUAAGCAACUGGAGGUGGUGCGGGGGACAGAGGGAAAAGUUUCUUCUGAGAUUCUGAGGGAGAACAAGGCGGUCUCAGUGUUGGGUGGGAGCUGCUAGGUGUGUGGCGCAGACCCUAGCACCUACGACCUGCCCUGUCCCGCCAGCUCUGCCCUGCUCCACUCCAGAGGAGAGCGGGCGUGUUCCCAGGACAGCCUGCGAGCCCAUCACUUACCUCCCACCCAGCCGCCGGGUGGCCGCCACGCGCGAAGCCCAGAGCGGCGCGAAGCACGGGGCACGCCGGGAGUUGUAGUCCACCGUGGCGCUGGAGGGUCUCAGAAGCCGGGCGGAGGCAGAGUGGAGAGGCAGAGGCUCUAAGAGGGAAAGGACCGAAUCCGCUGGGAUUCUGAAGAGGACAUUUGCCAAUGCCUCAAAACUUCCAGGGAGCAGAAGGGAGGGGCUCCUCCCGGGAAACUAUUCAGCGGAGGUUUUCGGGUUACCAACAUUUUCUGUGGAUAACCCCUCUGAAGUUGGGAACUCCUGAACUGGCGCACACCCUGUGUGGAUCCAUCGUGCCACAGCCCUGCAGUUCACAUAGGGAAAUCCCGUGUUGAACCAUCCCAGCUCACACUUAAACAUAAAGUGCUUUUCACGUGCUUUUAAGAUACCUUGGCUUUCCCUGGAGUGUAGCCGAUUGAAUGAUGACGUCAUCCGUGGAAUUUGCGGCACCAGUGCAGUUUACCUUGCGGGGCUCCCCAUU